UGGGAAUAUUGGACAAUGGAGGAAACUCUGAUCCAGUGACGCCGCGUGAAGGAAGAAGGUCUUCGGAUUGUAAACUUAUUCUGUCAGGGAAGAAAAAAAUGACUGUACCUGAAGAAAAAGCACCGGCUAACUACGUGCCAGCAGCCGCGGUAAUACGUAGGGUGCAAGCGUUAUCCGGAUUUACUGGGUGUAAAGGGCGAGUAGACGGCGUUGCAAGUCAGAUGUGAAAACCUAGGGCUCAACCGUAGGACUGCAUCUGAAACUGUAAUGCUAGAGUGCAGGAGAGGUAAGCGGAAUUCCUAGUGUAGCGGUGAAAUGCGUAGAUAUUAGGAGGAACACCAGUGGCGAAGGCGGCUUACUGGACUGUAACUGACGUUGAGGAGCGAAAGUGUGGGGAGCAAACAG
rnacentral:rRNA from 1 species